GAUAACAGGCUUAUCUCCCCCAAGAGUCCACAUCGACGGGGAGGUUUGGCACCUCGAUGUCGGCUCAUCACAUCCUGGGGCUGUAGUAGGUCCCAAGGGUUGGGCUGUUCGCCCAUUAAAGUGGUACGCGAGCUGGGUUCAGAACGUCGUGAGACAGUUCGGUCCCUAUCCGUCGCAGGCGUAGGAAAUUUGAGAAGACCUGUCCUUAGUACGAGAGGACCGGGAUGGACGUACCUCUGGUGUACCAGUUGUCCUGCCAAGGGCAUGGCUGGGUAGCUAUGUACGGAAUGGAUAAGCGCUGAAAGCAUCUAAGCGCGAAGCCAACUUCAAGAUAAGAUUUCCCACCGCAAGGGUAAGACCCCAGAAAGACUAUCUGGUUGAUAGGUCGAAGGUGUAAGUGCAGCAAUGUAUUUAGCUUAUCGAUACUAAUAGGUCGAGGACUUGACCAAU
rnacentral:rRNA from 1 species